GAUGAACGCUGGCGGCGUGCCUAAUACAUGCAAGUCGAGCGAACAGAUAAGGAGCUUGCUCCUUUGACGUUAGCGGCGGACGGGUGAGUAACACGUGGGUAACCUACCUAUAAGACUGGGAUAACUUCGGGAAACCGGAGCUAAUACCGGAUAACAUUUGGAACCGCAUGGUUCUAAAGUGAAAGAUGGUUUUGCUAUCACUUAUAGAUGGACCCGCGCCGUAUUAGCUAGCUGGUAAGGUAACGGCUUACCAAGGCGACGAUACGUAGCCGACCUGAGAGGGUGAUCGGCCACACUGGAACUGAGACACGGUCCAGACUCCUACGGGAGGCAGCAGUAGGGAAUCUUCCGCAAUGGGCGAAAGCCUGACGGAGCAACGCCGCGUGAGUGAUGAAGGGUUUCGGCUCGUAAAACUCUGUUAUUAGGGAAGAACAAAUGUGUAAGUAACUGUGCACGUCUUGACGGUACCUAAUCAGAAAGCCACGGCUAACUACGUG
rnacentral:rRNA from 1 species